CUAAGAAACGUUAAAUAACAAUUUAACAACACAAUUUAUAUAUAAAGAAAGAUGUAAAAAAUUUUAUUAAUUACAAUUUGGUGAACACUUAUUGUGUUUUUAAUUUUCUAAUUUUUAUUAGAUUGUAACGUCGAUAUAAAGAUCCCUUAUAUUUUGAUUCAAGCUGUAAACUUGUUGCAGAAAUUGGCUAAAUAAACUCUCUAAGAAUUACAUCGGCAAAGUGCGCAAUAAAUAUUUCUCUACGAAAACACUUGGCUUACUUACCUCCGAAAAUACAUACGAUAACACAAUAAGACGUGGCGAGUAAAUGGCGCUAGGUAGAUAAUUCUUUAUGCGUGAUGAAUGUGCCGACACUCAAAGGCCGGCGAAAGAAAAUAAGGGAGCCCACGUAUAAAGAUGUCCCAGCAUGUAUGCGCCAUAAUGUCGCGGAUAAUCCCGGGAAAACACUUGCAGAUAUAGAGGGCGAGACAGAAAACGCGCAGCUAAAAAUUUUAUUCUCUCUCGUUUAUUUCUCUAGGAAAAAUAACUUGCCGAGCCUGUGGUAAGCGGAUAUAUUCAUCUUGAGAGAAACUCUUUUUAGCGCGCGAAACCGCCUUGCUGGUUUACCCGUUUGCGCAUAUGCCCGUAUGCACAUCAAACAUCGAAUUUCCGAGCGAAACGGAGAAGCAAAAAUACGCAAAAGCGAAAAUGUCAUGUAGAAAAAGUUGAAGGGAAAAUAAGUCACGGGUUAACGCUUGAAACGUUAAAUAUUCAUGGCUCGCCAGGUUUUAAAUUUUUGGCAAAAAUAUAACGCUGCUUUUUUCAGCAAUAGUGGAUAGCAAACUAUAAUAUCUAAAGCUAUUUUAGAUCAAUCAUAUUUGUCGCCUUUAAAAUAAAUCUGAGGUAUAACGAUAUACAAUUAUGUCCGCGAAUUGUACUUGGAAUUUCGACGAAAGUCAAUGUGUCUUGUUAGUCAAUGAAACUUUUUUUAUACAGAAAAAAUGCUGAAGAAAAAAAAGAAAGUACUAAUGUACACGCGCACAUAUAUCGAAGCUUUUAACGGACACCUGUUAUACGUGAACGCGACGAAAGAGUGCUUCUAAUUAAAAUUCUCGGCAUUACUCGGCGAGCCUUCAAGUGCAACAGGAAUCGCUCGUUUAUUCCGAAGUCACGCGUGCGUGCCCGCAUGCACGUACGACCAUCGUGCGAGUCAUUAGCAGCGGUGCGAGAGAAAGAGGAAAUCUCGCGGCAGCAGGAGAAAGCACCGGCGACGGAAAUAUGGAAAUACGUGGAAGAUGCGGUACGUGCGCAAAAAUAGCGUCAUGCAUUUUCUAGUCUACUGCGCGCCGAGGCGUGGUGCGCGGUGUCUGAAGUGAGAUUUUCAUCAAUGCGCGUCGCGCUCGAGUCGCGUUUCAGAAAAGGAAAAGUGGAUGUAGACUCGCUUGGUCGGCGAUUUGCUGGCGAUGAGGGAAAGAAAGAACACCGACGGGGUACGAAAGAAAGGAAAAAAAAGAGAAAAAGAGAAUGCGCGCGAUAAUGCAGGUAAAUACGCUCAAACAACGCGUUAAAAAAAAAUGCGAUCUUUCGGUUGACUGACAAAUGAAAGAAAAUGAAAAAUCAAACCAAGUAAAGAUUCGUGAAAAUGAUGAAAGGUAUAUUCUCGUGAAGGGUGGAAAAAUGCAUGUGGCUUUGCAUAUUUGUAUUAGAUAGUGACAGGGCUAUGCAUGCCACAUUGCCAUAAAAGCGACACAGCGAAAUAAAUUUAGAGAGUACACAUUUCUGUGGCUUUCCUGCCUUUUUCCUUAUUCAGGCGCUUUGCGUACGAAAAUUUUUAUUAAUGUACAUUGUCAUUACUUUCUCAUGGCAGCCUUGUAGAUGGAGAGGAAAGAGAAAAUAAAAAUGUACGAUAUUUUUUAAAGCUGUUUUAGAAUGUCACAGCAGCAUAUCUAUUUGUAUGCAUUUGCUCCUGUAAGGGAGGGAAAGAAAGAGAGACGAGAGAAACUGAUCUCACACUCGUAACGAAUUAUUAAUCACUGUAUAUCAUGUCAAAUUGUUUUCUUUAUUCGCGCUGGCAGACAUGCAUCACGAAUCCACGAGAAAAGAGGAAAAUCUCUUUCUAAUACAACUUUGAAAACACGUUUGUAUUAUUUAAAUAGCAGUUGUUCAAAUAGUAUCGCUGCUCUUCGAGAAAAAUAGCAAGUAAAUGAAAAUAUCCGUGCCAUCUAAAAUGCCAUUAAUUUUUUUGCUAAUAGUGAUAAAUUAAAUAAUACUUUAUUCCUGUUUUGUAACGCGACUACUGGACGAUAAAGCAUUUAAUACUGAGCGCAACCUGAUCGUAAUUAUUAUUAUGCAUUAGCGGUCAAAUGUAACAAUUUAUAUAUCGAUCGAUAAAAAUGCUAUAGCGAGAACGCAUUCAAUAAUGCGUGAUAAUAAUAAGUACGUGCGCAUCCUAGUUCUGUUUAUAGUCAUAUACGCAUGUCUCUAUCCACAUUCUUCACCAAAAUCCAUGAAAUUGUUUCCAUACCUUGCACAUAGGCAUGCGUAAUCGUCAACGUGAAACGCGUGGUAUGUGGAUGCGGUAGAAGCUCGGAAUUACGAAAGGGUGUGCAUCUUUGCUGUUUAUUGGUUUUUCCAAUUAGUGACAAGAACCUUUGAUUUUGGGUAAAUUAUUAACAUCUCUUCUAUUUCAUGCCUUCUGUUCCAUCAAAUUAUUUAAGUGAAUAAAGUUUUAACAAAUAUGAAACUAGCCGCGCGUUUCAUAUUUUUGUUGAUAUAAAAUAAAUUUGAUAGUUUUUAAGAUUUGUUGGUAAUGAGAAGGAUUAAAUUUGUGAAACAUAAUAAUAGUUAGAUUACAAAAAAAUGUCGCAUUUUUUUCUACGUAGUAAUUUACUUCUGGUCUGUAUACCGAAAGUAAUUUAUAUUUAACAUCUUAAUAUUGCCGUGAUAUAUGGGAGAGACUCAAGCCACGUGAGAUCGUAUUUCGGAAUUGUGGUAGAAAAAAAGUUACGUCAGACACUUUGUUACGACUGUUUUAAUCGAAUACGCCCCUCUUUCAUGACGUAAUUUUAUUCGCGCUACGACUCAACGACUCUAUAGAAGGUGUCGCGGUUUUUUUUUUCAAAACAAGUACGAAACAUAUAAAGAGUAUAAAAACGUAAGAAAAGGCGGGAGAGAGAAAGAAUAAGUAAUGGCUGCGCGAUAAUCAGUAGCGCGAGGAACGUGUACGCGCUCCUGAGCUGGUAGACAUGCAACUACCUGCCACAAUAAAAAGGAUUUUUCGUGCGUGCAGACCGCCGUCCACUAGGCGAAGAGGAAGUAUUAUUCAGGUCUACGUGAAGGCAGUUUAAAAGAGACACGCGAUAAAAGUGCUUGGUUUCUUUGUAUUGGUGAUUACAAUAGGGGGGGUGUUUUUAUCACUACAAUGAAAGUUUUGUUUCUGACGAGUGUUCAUCAUUCGAGGAUUGUAAUUUGUAAAAGUGCGAUUAUUAUCGCCACAAUAAGAAUUAAUUAAAGUAAUUAUAAUUUGAUAGGAAAAAUAUCUUACUUAUUAACGUUUUACUCUACUUUAUAAAGAUUAAUUAGAGAUUAUAUUAUUGUUUCUUUUUUUUAAGGAUUAAUGGAAACUAUCUUACUAAUUUAUACAAAAUAAUUUUCUUUUGCAUGUGUUUGGUGUAACGCAUUUGCAAUCAAAAAUUUUAUUGGAGCUUAACAGAAUUAAUAAGUCGACUUUUUUUCUAAUGAGGUGAAAUCAAUGGGGUAAAAUAUUUCUCACCCUGGAAUAAUACAGGCAAGAAUUGUCUCUUGAUAGCUUAAUCGCGUGGAAUCGGCAUACCGCUUUAAAGAGCUUUUCCCGCUUUGAAAUUGAAAUCGCGCCAAGCGCAUUUAGGUGGCUUCCCUGGAAUCGUUACGCCGGCAUCCAUAUUUAGGUAUCGGAAAUUCUAUAAAAGGCGACGCGAGAAGUUAAUUCGGGUCUACCUCACAGCCGAUAUUUAACAGUACAAAAAGCAAACUUGUGUACGGUGAAUCUCGAAAUAUCAGUUUAUUAUAUGGAUCAAUUCUUGUUUUACAAUAUAGUUUAAAGAACAUAUUACUUCGAUUUAAAGUGAAAAUUUUAUUUAUUAAAAUCCAAAAUAUUAACAAUAAUUAUUAAAUGUAGAAUUAAAAAUUUUAUAUCAUUAUUAUGUAUUUAAUUAUUUACUUUAGAAAUUUAAUUCAAUUUCAAAAGAUAAUUAAUGUUGUAUGAUAUUUUACGAUGUUUGAUAAUGUUCGAUAUUCUACGAUAAUUUACGGAUAAUAUCAAUUUGCGAAUUAUAUGUAUUAAAAAAGAAAUAUUUUUAUUAAUAUUAUUUAUUAAUAUUAUUAAUAUUAUAUAUAUUUUUAAUAUUAUUUAUUAAUAUUUCUUGUUUUAUGAUAAUUAAUAUAUUAUGAUUACUUACUGUAAUAUUUAGAUUAUUACUGAAACGACGUUAGUCGUUUAACAACUAAUAAAAUUCGAUUUCUCCGCAUUAUUAACGAUAAUCGAGCAAAGCACAACAAAAAUAAAAAAGCAGGAUCAGCGACGCUUAUGUCCAAAAUUUGUUUAGUUAUUCUUAUUUAUGUGAUUUUUUACACAUAAAAACACACAUAUACGCAUAUACACACACAAAGGCAUUAGCAAUAACAAGAGCUCCUUCGGUUAUUCUUAAUAUUUUUUCUCUCUCUUUUACAUCUAAAAUCAUGAAUAAUUUUUCUUAUCCUUGAUGAUAUAUCUUUUUACUCAGAGAACGAUGAUUGCUUUUAAAUCAUAACAUCAAAAUUGGAUUAAGUUUGCAAGAAGAAUCUGAUCUUCAACAUCGAUAAAACGUUUUCCGGCCGUCUGUAUUUUUUUUCUUAUAGUUAAAAAAAUAUAGAUGUAAAAUGUUAUGGUUUAACACCAUUUGGUGUUUAUAUAAUUCUCAUUUAUUAUUUUUGAGACUGUAUUUAUAUUUUUCUAUGAAUUUGCCGAUGUUUCUUCAAUAAAAUAUUUAUAUAAUUUCUUUGAGUAAAUGUUAAUCCGCACGCUGCACACAAAUCGUCUUUUUCUUUUGCAAAUCGCGGGGAGAGUUCUUUCCUUAAUAACAAGUUUCGUUCACCAAGCUAACCGAUUAUUCCCACGAAUGACAAAUUAUGUCACUUAUCUAUCUCAUUAUUCAGAGGCGCUAUUAUCCCAAGUACAAAGUUUUAGUGACUUUGUAAGAGGUACUUAUAUCGCGGUCUGGUCGACGUCUGCCUUUUUGCAAAAAGCCACCAAGCCUUUUCAGCGGUAUAUUGUCGACUCUUAAACGAUCUCAUCCGACGUGAACAAUCGCCGGAUAGUUCGGAGGUACAAUUAUCUCUGCAAAAAUGUAACGAAAAUUAUUGCAUCGGUGCGCUCGUUAAGAGUAUCCUCAAGGAGCAUCGUCGUUCUCUUUGCUUUUCUGAAAACUGCAAUCUCUAUUUAUCUGGUUCUUAAAUUCUAGGUUAUUUUCGUCUCUGGUUUUAAGACGCUCAGUUUCUUAAAUGGUAAAUUUUUUAAAGCUUGCUUGGCUCUUACAGAAAAGACUUUUUAAAUUUUUAGACAUAAAUUACUUGAGUACUUUUUCUUAGAUAUCUUAAAUUUCAAUUUUUAUUUAGAUUUUAGAUAUCUCUUCAAAAAUAAAUGCUUUUGAAUCGUACUUUUCUUAUAAACGAAGUUUUCUUAUAAAACUUAAUAAACGGGGUUUUUUAAAUUGGUAUUGGUAACUUGAAAAUGUCAUUAAAUGGUUAUGUUAAUUAUCAAUGGUUUUAUAUCUUUCCUUGGCUUUAUGUAUAUUGAAAUUUUACCAUUUUUAUUAUACGCUAUGUUUAUAUUUUUUAAAUUUACAUUUAGAACUUCAAAUUUUUUUUUAAGCGAGCUUACAUAUAAAUAGUCAAAUCUAAAUUGCAGGAUUAAUCCUUUGUGUUACGAAUUUUUAUAUUAGAUCGAUUUUUUAAAACUUUGUAUCCAGUGAUUUUUCGGGACGAUGAUUAUAAAGCAGAAGUCAGAAUUUUAAAAUUAAAAAUGAUCCGAUCCAACAUAACAGUCCAAAUAAUACAAAACUUUUUUAAAUUUUCUUGAAAAUGGAUCAGUACAUGUUUUUUUAAUUGCUGACUCUGAAUCUAAGGCUAAAGUUUUGAAUUUCGAAAAUUCAAGAUUGCAAAAUUAAUAUGGACAAAACAAAAACUUUAUUAAUUUAGAAUUUGUUUUCUAGAUUAAUUUUUAGUUGCUGAACAAUUUAACCUAUUUUUUUAUUUUUUUGCAUUUAAGUUUUGUUGAACUUUUAAUAUUAAAAAAUGUUGAUCUCAGAUUUGUAUACAGCGACCAAGAAACUUAGAAAACAAGUUAAAAUAAUAAAAUUUUCUAAGUUUUUGUAUUGCUUUUUUUAGUCAUCUUGAGUUCGAAAAAUUUGAAAAUUCAGACUUUAGAUUAGGAUUCAAUAACAUAAAAAAUUCCAGAAUAAGAGAUUUAUUUGAAUGUACAGUAGAAAAUGUUAUGCAUUGCAUAUUUUCACAUUUAUCUUUGCACCGAGUAUCUAAUUUUUUGCUUACAUAAAAAGAUAUGGCAUAUGACAUUAUGAGGUACAUAGUAAACAAAGUAUUUCAUUAUAUGAUAGUAUCUUUAUUGCCCAAUGAUCAUUAAAGUAAUAUAUAUACUUGUGAUGCGAGAUACUACCAUACGUGUCUCUUGAUAAUGUUUUCAGAUCUUGUAAGCUCGUUGUAAAUUUACUUAACUCUCCAUUUGUAACUAUCACAGUUGUAAUAUUCUUGCAUACAAAAAGUAAUUCUUCAACCAUUAUUAAUGUUUCAUUGAGACAGCAUAAUUUUUUUUUUCAAAAUCUACGUGUCUUUCUGUACAUAUGUAAUAAAUUUUUAAAACAAGUAUUGAUUUCUUUAAUCGGACACAGUUGUAAGCAUCCAAUCAUUCAGUCAUGUAAUCGUUGAUGCGAAAUAAUUUCAGCGAUCGAACUGCAUCUCGAUCGUGCGCGCACCCAGAAAGAAUUGAGUUUGCCGAGUAUAAGAGGCAUUUCCCGCAAGAUUAUGAAAGCUUCCGUGUUAUCGAGGAUGUUGCCAGUUUUAUCGUGGCGAAAAAGUGAAAAACUAAAUCUAAGCGCACGAUGCACUCUUCCAGCUCGCAGAUUUUUUCCUAUGCGGUGCAUUUGACCCGCCGCACAGUGGGCCAGAAUUGACUUUUUUCGUUCAAAAUGGUCUAGAGACCUCAAUAUUUAACCAAAUAGAACAAAUUUUUUUUUUAAUUACUCGUAAAAAGGUACCAAAAAAGACUGUCUGAGCCGAUUUUUAACCAAUUUCAUCCCUCAGGGCAUACAACCCCAUAUUCUCAUUGAAUAAUACAAAAUACCAUUACGUGAUAAUGACAACACAUAAAACGGUAACUUUUACCUGCAAAACCUCACGUAUGGACUCAGUGACAUCAAAACAAUACAAACUUACAUUACAACAAUGACUGCAUGACUUCAUGACUUUAUGUAAUCGAAAUAAAAAAUAUAAUAAAUUAUACUUAUAACUUAGUACGACUUGAAUCAGCUACACUUAGGAUGAAAAAUGUACCUAGAAUGUGCUACGAGGAGGCUUCGAGUUUACAUUCCAUGGGGUUUUGUUUUUUUUUCUUUUUGCAAAUUUAAUUUUUUUAUUUUUGUAAAUUUUUUUGUUUUUGAAUUAAUACUGAAUUUUGAAUUAAUACAAGUCCAGUAGAUCCUGUGCUUUCGGAUCAAUAUUUUUAGGCUUUUUGUGCCAUUGAAUUCUUAAACUUGCUAUAUAAGGAUCCGAGGAAACAAAUAACUUUUUUAUGAGGUCUUCAGAGAUCAAGAUACAUACAUGAAGAUACAUAUGGAGAGUAAACAUUAAGCAAUCUUUAUUAUUCUAUUACAAGUUAAAAAUGCAAAGUUAUCUUAAUUUGAAAACUGAUGUACAAAUCAAAACAAAAAAUUAAAAUACAAAAAACAUAAAAAAUUAAUUAAAGAUUUUUGAAUCAAAAUUAAUUUAAAAAAUUUUUUUAAUUACAAAAAUGUAAAAAAUUAAAAUUACAAACAAACCAAAAACCAUGGAAUGUAAACUGGAAGCCUUCUCGUGGUACAUUCUGGGUACACUUUUCAUCUCAAGUGUAGCUGAUUCGAGUCGUACUAAGCUACAAGUAUAAUUUAUUAUACUUUUUAUUUUGAUUACAUAAAAUCAUGAAGUCAUGCAGUCAUUGCUGUAAUGUGAGUUUGUAUUGUUUCGAUGUCACUGAGCUCAUACGUGAGGUUUUGCAGGUAAAAGUUACCGCUUUAUGUGUUGCCAUUAUCAAUGAGAAUAUAAGGUUGUAUGCCCUGAGGGAUGAAAUUAAUUGAAAAUCGGCUCAGACAGUCUUCUUUGGUACCUUUUCACGAGUAAUUUAAAAAAAAAUUUGUUUUAUUUGGUUAAAUAUUGAGGUCUCUAGACCAUUUUGAACGAAAAAAGCCAAUUCUAGCCCACUGUGCGCCGUGUGGAUAAACUGGGCUACCCUAUCUUUUCUUCUACGGCGACACACGUGCAUACAACGCGCGUGUGUAAUUUAUGCGAAGCUGUCAAACCCGGAAAUGACGUCUUAUACUCCCGGUCCCCGUCCUACAUUGUCAAGCGAACAAGAGAGAGCAGAAUGUUGCGCGAGAAAAGACGGCAGGAUAGCUAGAAGUGUAUAGCUCUCGCGCUUGGAGAACAUUCGCCCCGGUGAAUGAGAAACGUGUCCUCCGCCUCGUUUGGUUUAAACAACUCACCGAACAAGGGCCUUGCCAUGAAGGCUCUGCUAUCAGUGUUAGGCGAUCUGAAAGCAAGAUAAAUUUAGCUGGAAAAAUCAUACUUCCCUCUCUUUCUGCCCUCGCUUUUCUUAAUAUCAUUCCAUCUUUUGUCUAUAAAAUUCUUCUAAUAUCUUUGUCAUUACAUGAUUAACUUGAUUAUAUUUUUCUAAAACAAUGUUUUUUUUUUUGGAAACCGCGCGUUAUAUUUUUACAAAUAUUAAUCCCAAGUUCUAAAAAAAUGUCAGCUUACUCUACAUUCAAAAGACGUAACGUAUUGACACACCUCCCUCCUUCUCCUCCGGUAAUCUCUGGAAAUCGCAAUUUACGCUUUCCUAAAGCCGUGUGGCGAACGUUGGUAGUGUCAGAGAGUCUACAACCCUGCAGCGACAUAUUACAGUUUCUAAUAUAGCCACGGUUUUGGCUUUAGCCGUGUCCCACAUCAACGAACUAAUUCCGUUUCAACAGUACUGACUGUUGGAAGUCAAGGCAUUUCGAGUAUUAAAACGAGAUGUAUGUACAAACGGUGUACGAUCAAUAUACGACUAUAAAAGCGGGAUAUCCUUAAUAAUUCCGGGGAUGUCUCAUGUGUCUUUGCGACUUCAAAUUCUUUGCGAAACUUGAACAAUUUGAGUUGUGCGGCGAGAGCCUUCCGCUGCGUGAAAUUUAUUUAACGAGGCAGUUUAUGAAAUGCCAAUUACAGUGAAGUCCUUUCCGUUGCUCGCGACCUGAGAAACUGCUUGGCAAUUUUACAGAGUGAGAGAGAGAGAGAGAGAGAGAGAUCGACUUUAAAUCGUUGAAAAAAAAAACUCAUACGCAAAAGGAAAGACGACAGUCCCUGACAUCAUAUAGAUCGCCGUAUAUCCAACGUGUCGGCAAUCGUCGACGAGGUACGUGCGCGGACACGAACGCGGCGCGAUUGCACAUAAAAGCGAGAUUCGCGCGCGAGAUGCGUCCCCACGGGCGAGAAUAUUUUUCGAGUCCUUCGUGAGCGUUGGGAUAUCGGGCUACCCCGCUCUCGCUCCUCUCCCUCGCCCCCUCAGGGCGAACCGCGUAUGUACUGGCGAGAUAAGCUCUCUUCUUGCUUUUCGCGCUGGCCUUACCGGCCGACUACCCCUACGACGAAACGACGACGAUGAUAGCACGAGGUUCGUAAUGCAAUAAUAUUGGAGAUCGCGGGGUGUUCACUCUCUCUCUCUUUCUCUCUCUCUCUUUCAUGUUUUUCGUUGGCACAUACGCACGUACACGCGCGGGAUACGCGUGUUGGAUGACCGGGUGGUUUGCACCUGUGAUAUGCAAACGAGGCAAAUCCAUUCCCACUCGCCCUCUUCUUUUCUCGGUCAGGUGAUAUUGGAGGGCGACGAAACUGAUAUGAUGUCGCGGAUCUUAAAUUAAAUCUUUUCCCAUUCGUAGAGAUAUUUCUUUUCUUCGGAUGGGUAUUAAAAUAAUAAAUCGUGAGAUAUCACACUUACUAUAUUUAACAAGAUUUGAUAUGUUCUAGUCAAUUAAUUGACUUAUAAAUUUAUAUUUAAAAAAUACUCUUGUAUCAAUUUAAUUGCACAAAUACGAAUGUGCAAACGUGUGACAUUGUGAUAUGACAAAAUUGCGUAUAAAAAGAAAUCAUGAAAUAAGAUAAAGCGAAAUAUGCACGAAAAUAGAAUAAUUAAAACCGCAUGUAUUUCAACUACAAUUGACAACUACGCGAAAUCACUUUUCGUUCAAAAUUCUGUUCUACAGUGUAUUUUGAUUUAAAUAUUCAGAUGAUGAUAUACCUAAUAAUGAUAUAUCUAUAAAUAAAAUUUUACAGAAGAUAUCGCUUUUAGAGCUUCGUCUGCGGCGAAACCUCUCUUUCUAUGAGAUGGAAUUAAUAGCGGGACAACUAUGUAUGUUUCUGGCAAGUGCGCUAAGAGGGAAUUAAUUGCACCAUAUAUAGAUUGCCAGGUAGAAUUAUCUGAGACUGUCGUAUAUCUUGAUUACACGCAUAGCCGUCGGCGAUAUAUUUUCCAUUGCGGUGUCCGUAAUUACUAUACGCGAGCAAUGUAUUUUACGUUAAGCGUGCGCGUAUUACGAAUUUCCGACUGAUUAAUUUGCGGUUAUACGCGCAAAUUUUUGUGCAAAACUCUAACGCAAGUUACAUACUAAAAAUUAUCUAAGUUUCCUCCAAUCAGCCACUGUGCAAUCAGAUAUAUUUUAGAAUUAAAUUAACUUUUUUUUCCCACUUUAUUUUAAUUUAUUAUGAUUUGCUGAUUGCUUAUGACGCGCAUAAAAAGAACUUUUACAUUUACAUUAUAAAUGUGUGUAUUAUAGAACAACGUAAACAAAAUUGUUAAUAAAUUAAUUUUAAUAUAAAUUUAAACUUUUUAAAUGCAGCAAUACUGUUACUAAAUUUUAAAAAUUAUGAUAUUUUGUUUUAACACAUUAAAAAAAGAUUAUGCAUAAAAGCGUGGAUUUGGUCGGCGAAUAAAUGUGUCACGUAGACACAGUAAGCAUCGCGUGAUCGUGGCGACAAUAUGGAAGCGACUGUCGUAAGAUUACAAGAAAUAUUGCAGCACGAGAUACAAAAUGUGCCGUUGAUCGUAUUUGUCGCGGUAUUUACAUUCGUCGACAACGAUGUCGUUGAACUGCGCGACUGUCACGCAUUUAUGCGGCCGCCUUCAUGCGUGGUACCGUACGAAUACAAUAUAUUGUCGCUGCUUGACACCUCUGUCGAUUGGAAACGAUACGAAUAUAUGCCCUACGUGUUUGUUGGUCGCUUAUCAGAGAGGGUGGUGGAACACGGCGCGAGGUACAAUCGUUGCCUCGCUAUGCUAAGCUUUGACCACACGUACCUGAUACAAUCUACUGUGUUGUAUACGAGUUCAGCCAGACAGCUAUUGACCUUUCAAUAAAUAGAUAAGUUGAUAAUAUAUCCAUUCCGCUCCGAAAAUUUCUCUAACGUCUCUCUAGAAAUCGAUAUUAUUUAAUGAUUAAUGACUUUCUGCCAAUUUAUUUAUUUAUUGAAUUUAAUUAUUACGCUUCUGCAUGUAACUACUAUUUUAUUGAGAUUUCUGAAACGUAAUUCUCGAUCAAUUAUUUUUUUUCCUAUAGAAAAUUCGAUAACUUUCGCAAAAUAUAGAAGACGAGUAAACUCUAUUGACGUAACAGACAAUAUUGCAGUGAUGUUAUCAGACAUAUCAAUAUUUUCUCGCAAGUUUCUUAUUGAAUAAUACAUUUGGUGAAGGGAAAGGAUUCUCUUCACAUUUCCAUAAAGCAUGUUGUUUAUCGGUGCGGUCAAUAAGGAAUGCAUUCCUAAGAGUUUUCACUUUCUUCCUCGGGGACAGACUACAAAUGCGAGUGUUAGAUACUAAUGCAUUUUCGGUACCAUGUAACUGUUAUAAAAAGAGGAGAUUAAUUCAGAUAUCUUACGACUCUGAAUUCAAAUAUCAUUUAACGAUGAGUGUCAGAACAACGCGUUAUUGAGAAAAUGAUCAUCACUGUCGGACAAUACCGAUUCCAAAUCGCGUUUUAUGGAUACUCACGGAUAUGACAACGCCGCAGCUUUAUUACCUUAAUCAUGAGAUAUGGACGCUUUCGUAAUACAAUCUUUGCGGCUAUAGCAAAUUAUGGGAAGCUUCGGUGAUUUUGUUGGAUUUAUUGUUGGAGAUUACGUUCUAUUAUAAGCGAUAGAAGUUGUAACUUCUAUCGCUUAUAAUAGAACUUUCAACUAAAGAUAUAAUAAAACGGACAUAAUGUUUGAUAGAAAAAGAAUUUCUUACUAUACUUUUUUUAAGUAUAUAAAAAUUACAUGACUUAUAAUAAAAUUUUAUAUAAAAUAUAUAAAUUUUUUAAAUAUUUUUAUCUCUAAUUGUGCAAAUAUAUUUUUAUACCAGAGAGAGAAAUAUAUUUGUGCACAAACUAGUAGGGAUAAAAACACUAAAGAAUGUUCUUUCAAACUAGUAGAGAUAAAAACACUAAAGAAUAUAUCUUUAUUAUAAAUUGUGUAAUUUUCUAAAUAUUAUUUAUGUAAUUUUAUAUAAUUUUGUACGGAGUAGGGCAAAUGGUCCAACUAUUGAUAAUGUAAUGUAUCUAAAAUAUUGAUCUUAAAUGAUUUUCAAAUAUGUAAUUCAAAAAAUACAAGUAGUGUCUCGCAUUAUAUUACACAAUUGUAUUAUAUUACAGAAUUUACUUAUAUUACAGAAUUGUACUAAUUUUUAUUUGAAAAUUCUUAAGGAGCCUAUUUAUUAUAUUAUUUUAUUAAAAGUAAAACUUUCAAAUCUUUUAAUUGUAUGUAUCUAUUUAAACUGUGAAAAUCUCGAUUCUAGUCUGAACAAUGUUCAUUCUUAUUAAAAAAUGUGAGAAAAGGGACAGUUACGCAAAAAAUGAGUAAUUUUAAGUUAAAAUUAACAGAAAGUAUUAUUGGAACUUUUUUUAUAUUUAAUAAUAUUAACUUGAAAAUAAAUAAAAGAAGAAAAAUAUCAAAUAAAUUAUUUGUAAGUACAAUAUAAUUACUGAUGUUAGUAAUAUAAGGUAGUUUAUUAUUUUUGAUAUUGUUUGUUAUUUGAUAUUAGUGUUUCUAAUAAAUAAUAUGCCAAGACAACAUAAAAUGGUGUAUAAGGUUCCAACAAAAUUGGGUUAUAAGAUCUCUUAAAGAAUCUUUUAGAUGUCUUAUGACCCAAUUUUGAGCUUUAUAUUGUUUGGAUCAUGGAUAUAAAUUUAAAAGUUAUUGAACUUAAUUUUCUUCGUUAAAUUGGCACUUAUAAGGAAGUAAAAUCUUUAAUAAACUAAAGCAUUAUCAGCCAAAUACACAAUCAAAAUUAUAAAACUUAUUAAUGUGUCAGUCAUUGGGCUGUUUAUUCUAGUGUAAAUAAUUUUAUAUUAAAAUAUAUGUAUUAUUUGAUUUAUGUGCAUGUUUAUUUAAAUAUAUAGAGCCACAGUACAUACAUUAUUGUUUAUAAGUUUGGAAACAUUUGACAUUUUUUUGCAUCUCAUGAAAAGUUAAGUAUAAAAGUCUUUGAAAAAUGUUGAAAAAAUUUAUGCAAAUCCAGUACUUUAUAACAAACAUUUUUUGCUUUAUUAUUUUUUUGUUGUAUAAUAAACUCUUUAGUUAAGAAAACGUUUUAUAAGAGAUGAGAUUUUACUAAAGAAGUUUAAUAUUAUUGCGAGAAAUUAUUGUACCAAUUUAAAAAAAAAAGAA